AGUAUAAAAGGAGAGAUAACUUUGGUGUUUAAGAACCUAAAUGGUGCACUGAAAUAGAACUUUGUUACUAGAGUCUGAGUCAAACUUUUCAAUAAACCGAGAUCAAAGACAUGGAGUGAAAUAUGGGGAUAAACUGGUCGUCUAGGCAAGGUGGACAGGGUCACUAAAGGUGGGACUCAGUGGAAGUAACAGCAAGGAUGCUAAAGCAGAAAGUAUGAAUUCAUAAUGAUGCAAGUGAAAAAUGAGACAGAAAAACUGUACCAGCAUUAGGGUAAACUGGUGUACUCUCAAAGAGCAGAGUGGUACCACCAUUAGACAGUGGACCAUAUAACACAUAGGAGUGACCAGUGAUCCAGCCAAUGUCAGCGACACAACCAAACUUCUCUCCAUCUCUGUAGUCGAACACAUGCUGCAAAGUAUAACAUUAUUUUUAUCAGAAUAACACUGUAUGCAGGGUCAAUUUUGUAAUUUAAAACUUUAAAUGAAUGUAUGUAUAAUGUAUGUGUACAUACAUACAAACAUAUAUACCGGUACUUAUUUAUUUAUUUUAUUUAUUUAUGUAUUAUUUAGACCAUUCACCAACAGCACAAAACUAUAAUUUAUGAUCUAUUGACACUAUUUUGGGCCAUGCCUUGUAAUGAUAACCUUAACUAAAAAUGUAUGACCUGAGAUGGCUGCUUCAGACUAUGAUCACAAUAGACAUGAGUUAGAACCUUAACCACCUCCAUCCCAUAUUGUCCAGCAUGAGGUUUGGGCAAUGAUACAAUAAUCUUCAAUUCUGAAGAAACUAGUAAAAAUACUCCAAAACAAAACUAAAGUUUAUGACCAUUGGCACUGCAUAGGCCAUCUUAGCAACACAAAACUAACAUUUUUUAGAUAGUAAAAAACAUACAAAUAAAAUAAUUUUGUAAUUUUUCA